GCCGCCGCCCACCGUCCUGCCCCCAGCAGCUGCUCCAGAUGACUGCGAGGUUCCUUACGCGGUCAGAUGAGGCGCUCCGAGGAGUUUUGCAAUGUGUGCUGUUCUGUGACCUGGAGACUCCUUCCUAAGCGGCUCCCACCGACCUCAGGCCUGGGCGGCCCUUUCCAAUCCCUGAUGGAGAGGUUUCCACGGGGGGACAACCCGUGGGGCUCUGGGAUGAUCUGGCCCUGCUGGACCGCCCACGCCUCCUGUGUCUGCUGCCAACCCUUGACGGGGAGAAGCUGCCGGCGGUGACUCCCACAGGAUGCCUGGCUACCUGCCUGUGGUCAGCAAGGACAGCAGUGUGAAGCCUCCAAACCCAAGUGCUGCAGGAUCAGAAACCUGAGUGACCUGCCACCACCACCGCGUGCUCUGUGUCCGAUUAUCACGCACCACCCAGGGUGCCCGAUCCAGUGAUCAGAUCAGGGCUGGAGCAGGGCCUGGCACUCUGGCUACCUGGCACACAGGGCUCCCGGGCUGUCGGAAAGCUGUGGGCCGCCCCCUGGAAGACACCUGGGGCGCCACCACUCACUGCUGUAUCUUACAGCGGACGGAGGGGCCCAGGCCCGCGGAGCCCUCCCAGGUUCCAUGACUGGCGGGAGGCUGGACUGAACCUGCUGCCAGCUCCCCAGCCUCCGUGGCACCUGGGUGUGACGGGGGCCUUGACAGCCCAUGCCAACAAACGUGCACCCGGCUGGUAGCCGACCCUGGGUCCCAUCCUCCCUGAUACGUCCUGCAUGAAGGUCAAGGCGGUGAAGUUCAAAAGAGGGUUAAAACAAUGUCUGGAAAGUCCUCUAAUGGUCCCUGAGGGACGGGCGGGCUGGGCUGGGCUGUCUGACAAUCGCCCGAAGAUCCUCAGACUCCCUUAUCAGCACUUGAGGCUCCUGUAAACCGGUGCUGGCUAAUAGCAGGACGACGUGGUGACACUGUGCAGGCUCCCGCGGGCUUCAGCCUGGCGCUCUGAACCUGCCACGAAGAGUGGCACGGACUACCAGCAUUAAGACGGGGGCCGGUGACAAGGACGAGUCCCAUUCAACUGAGGGUCAGCGCUGCUUCUGCCUGAGGUGCCUUCUCCUUGUCUUGCUGGUGACAGAGCUGCCUCCUGGAGCUGUGGCUCAGAGUGUCCAGGUUCCAAAGCAAGGACAGCAGAAGGUGCCAACACUUAAAAGCAGGAUGUUGUAUUUAAAAAAAAUCUCUUCUCGAGGCACCCAGAGUCCUGGCUAAGGUGGGGCAUUCCGCAAGGCGACCACGGCUGAGGCAGGGGCCAGCUGUCCUGGUGGCUUGAGGCUGUGCAUGUGCCCACUUGCUUAUCAAACCCCGAGCCUGGCUAAUUUGAAGGGAGUCUAAUUUGAAGUCUCUACUUCAUUCUUCCUGAAAUGAAAGAACAGAAACUGAGGUGUCUCACAUGCUUCUGAAUUUGUCACCAAGGCCCCUGAUUCACGUCUGGGCCCUUAGUCUGUCCCGCUGGGAGACGACUGUCCCUUCAGGAGGUCACUGGCCCCCUGCAGGUGGCCUUCUUGCUGGAUGAGCCCCAGGGAGGAGAGGUGGAGAGUGUCCCCCAGGCUCAACUCUCUGCUCCGUCUCGUCCUGUGUGUCUCUACCCCCAGCCCCACAUGGGGGGCAAAGCGAAGGGGAAACAGGGAAGGGAGACCCCCUGAGGGUUCCUGGGCCUCAUUUGCUGGUUCGCUAAGUGAGAAGCAGGAGCCGAUGGCCUCUGAAGAGGUCCCUUUCUGCCUCGUGAGGAUCCAGUCCCCAGAGAGUCUACCCUAUCACCAGUGGCAUGGGAACAGGCCACCGUCACUGGUGAGACACGGAGGCCAGCGUGGAGUCUGAGCUGCGGCUGCUCGCUGGACGUCAGUCCUGCUCCCAAGCUCCCCACUGGUGACCUCCAGCAAGUUGGCCCUCCCUGGUUUCCGGCUUCACUGUCGUCUGGUGAGGACACAGAGCUACUGCUGUAAAAGCCGUCGUGGACACGAGGGCUUACCUGGUGUGGCGCAGAGCCCAGGAGGUCCAGCCUCCCUGCAGAGGCCCAGGGUGCAGCACUCAAAUAGGCCAGAGCAGGACACUACAGCCACGGCUCUGGGCCAGAUCAGCCUCA
rnacentral:lncRNA from 1 species